CUAGAUUCAACUGUCACUGAAAAGGCCACCAAAGUUGGGUAAAACAUAAUCUUUACUCAAGGUUUUAUCUAUAGUAAAUGUUUUCCCAUGUAAUAGGAAUAUAACUGUUUUCACUAUCAUAGGCAAAUAGGAGAAGCAGGUGAAAGAUUUUAUAGGGUAAGAAUUUCCAUACACAUGCAAAGUAUUCUUUUCUUUUUUCUUUUGGUACAGGAGAUUGAACCCAGGGCCUCAUACAAGCUAAGCAUGCACUCUACUACUGAGCUACACUCCCUGCCCAAAGUAUUCUUAUAAUUAUUUUCUGUCCUUAAAAUUUUAAUAACUUCUUCCUUUUAUAAAAGCAGUACAUUUUCAAUUACUGACUGUGAUUUUUAAGAUCUUCUAAAUUGCAUUUGCUAACAAUUUCUGAGAAAACACUAAGAAAUGUUAGAUGAGAGCAUUUUCAUUAUAGCUCAUUUAUUGGUAGAUAUUCAUGUUCAGAUAACUGCCUUUUAGAAUACCAGCAAUGCCAAUUAGGCUUCAGUUUAAACUAAUUUAGUAAGACAAGUCUUUUGAUAAUAAUAGUGAGAUAAUUAAUAUUUAGGUCUCAUUCCUAACCCAGAAGAAAGGUGGGUCAAUUGUAGAAUGAAGUUAAGGAUGUAUUCAGUUUGUUGUCGCAAACACAUAUGAGAACCUAUAACAUAGACUGUUCUGCGUACUUAAGAUUUAGCAAUGAAUGCAACAGGGACCAUGUUCACAGAAGGAACAGAUAUUUAAAUAAGCAAGUAAACUAUACUGUGAUUAGUUUAAUAUUAAUAUAUUAUUUAAGAUUAAGAUUAACAUGUGUGUCUUCUCAGUGCCCAAACAAAGGGAAGGAUUGAUCAUUCUUACCAGGCCAAGGAGCUGGGAAUGUUCUUAUAGAGCAUGAGUUACAAUGACUGUGAAGGGAUUCCCCAGAUGAACAAGAGGAAAAAGGUGUUCCAGGCAGAGGGACUAGAAUGUGGAAAGACAGAGUUAUAACAACUAAUACUUACUGAGUAUCUUUUGCAGUAUAUGAAGUACUAAACAUUCAUUAUUUUCUUUAAUUCUCAUAACUAAUCCAUGAGGGUGCUAUUAACCCUAUUUAACAAGUAAGAAAACAUAUUUUGUUAACUUGCCCACAAUAGCAUUAGUUGUAGGUGGCAAGGCUGGGGUUCAAACCCAAAUUUGUUCUGAUUCUAGGGUCUGCACUCUCAGCCAUGAGGCCAUUUGCAUUCAUUGUAUUAACUGAGCUUAAAAUUUGAAGUGGGG
rnacentral:lncRNA from 1 species